rnacentral:sRNA from 1 species
AACAUCAAACUCAGAUGUUGAACGUGAAGGAUAACGUUGCGUCAGCAACGGCCCGUAGGGCGAGGCGAAGCCGAGUCAUCCUGCACGACCCACCA